UUUAGGAUGACGCAGAUGCUAAAUGCCGCGGGAGUCAGAGAAAACCUGGGGUCCUGAUGAUGUUGUUGAGCUGCUGAAUCAACCAUCCCUAAACCCUAUGCUCCCAAGACUUCUUGUCAUACUACUACAACAGCUUCUUCAUGAUGUCCAAACCCCAAUUUGGCCUCUCUCUGAUCCUUCAUCUAUGCUGCUGUCACAUGGGCCUUCCGGUGAUCUUAUCUGAAGCAUUAAAAGCAAGAACACACUUUUGCAGACUUCUUUUCCUGGCUCUCUGAUAACCAGCUACAUGUCUUCCACAUGAAGCCUCCUGAGUUCAUCAGUACAUCAUUGCAUCAUUGACAUGACCCUGCUGAACUAUGCCACGUCUGCCUUUGCUUAAGUGGGUAGGACUGAACCUGCAGCAAACUUUGGAGCACUCAUUUGGGUCACAAUGAUAAAAAU
rnacentral:lncRNA from 10 species